rnacentral:rRNA from 1 species
UUAUAGUCUACCUGCUCAUGAUAAAUUUAUUAAAUAGCCGCGGUAUCUUGACCGUGCAAAGGUAGCAUAAUCAUUAGUUUUUUAAUUGAAAACUCGUAUGAAUGGUUGGACAAAGGAGAAACUGUCUCUUUUAUUAAAAUUGAAUUUAACUUUUAAGUGAAAAGGCUUAAAUAUUUCAAAGGGACGAUAAGACCCUAUAAAGCUUUAUAAAUUUAAAAAUUUUGUAUAUUUUUAUAUAGUAACAAUUUUCUGAUUAUUUAUUUGGUUGGGGCGACAAUAGUAUAAUAAAAGUAACUGCUUUAAAUUAAUACAAAAAUAUUUGAAUAAUAUUAUUUAAUUGAUCCUUUUUAAAGAUUCUAAGAUCAAGUUACUUUAGGGAUAACAGCGUUAUUUUUCCUGAGAGUUCUUAUCAAAGGAAAAGUUUGCGACCUCGAUGUUGAAUUAAAACGUCUAUAUAGUGCAGCAGCUAUAAGAGAAGGUCUGUUCGACCUUUAAUAUUUUACAUGAUUUGAGU